UUAAGCGACUAAGCGUACACGGUGGAUGCCCUGGCAGUCAGAGGCGAUGAAGGACGUGCUAAUCUGCGAAAAGCGUCGGUAAGGUGAUAUGAACCGUUAUAGCCGGCGAUGUCCGAAUGGGGAAACCCAGUGCAAUUCGUUGCACUAUCGUUAACUGAAUACAUAGGUUAACGAGGCGAACCGGGGGAACUGAAACAUCUAAGUACCCCGAGGAAAAGAAAUCAACCGAGAUUCCCCCAGUAGCGGCGAGCGAACGGGGAGCAGCCCAGAGUCUGAAUCAGCUUGUGUGUUAGUGGAACGGUCUGGAAAGUCCGACGGUACAGGGUGAUAGUCCCGUACACCAAAAUGCACAGGCUGUGAACUCGAAGAGUAGGGCGGGACACGUGGUAUCCUGUCUGAAUAUGGGGGGACCAUCCUCCAAGGCUAAAUACUCCUGACUGACCGAUAGUGAACCAGUACCGUGAGGGAAAGGCGAAAAGAACCCCGGCGAGGGGAGUGAAAAAGAACCUGAAACCGUGUACGUACAAGCAGUGGGAGCACCUUCGGGUGUGACUGCGUACCUUUUGUAUAAUGGGUCAGCGACUUAUAUUCUGUAGCAAGGUUAACCGUAUAGGGGAGCCGCAGGGAAACCGAGUCUUAACUGGGCGUUAAGUUGCAGGGUAUAGACCCGAAACCCGGUGAUCUAGCCAUGGGCAGGUUGAAGGUUGGGUAACACUAACUGGAGGACCGAACCGACUAAUGUUGAAAAAUUAGCGGAUGACUUGUGGCUGGGGGUGAAAGGCCAAUCAAACCGGGAGAUAGCUGGUUCUCCCCGAAAGCUAUUUAGGUAGCGCCUCGUGAACUCAUCUUCGGGGGUAGAGCACUGUUUCGGCUAGGGGGUCAUCCCGACUUACCAACCCGAUGCAAACUACGAAUACCGAAGAAUGUUAUCACGGGAGACACACGGCGGGUGCUAACGUCCGUCGUGAAGAGGGAAACAACCCAGACCGCCAGCUAAGGUCCCAAAGUCAUGGUUAAGUGGGAAACGAUGUGGGAAGGCACAGACAGCCAGGAUGUUGGCUUAGAAGCAGCCAUCAUUUAAAGAAAGCGUAAUAGCUCACUGGUCGAGUCGGCCUGCGCGGAAGAUGUAACGGGGCUAAACCAUGCACCGAAGCUGCGGCAGCGACACUAUGUGUUGUUGGGUAGGGGAGCGUUCUGUAAGCCUGCGAAGGUGACCUGUGAGGGUUGCUGGAGGUAUCAGAAGUGCGAAUGCUGACAUAAGUAACGAUAAAGCGGGUGAAAAGCCCGCUCGCCGGAAGACCAAGGGUUCCUGUCCAACGUUAAUCGGGGCAGGGUGAGUCGACCCCUAAGGCGAGGCCGAAAGGCGUAGUCGAUGGGAAACAGGUUAAUAUUCCUGUACUUGGUGUUACUGCGAAGGGGGGACGGAGAAGGCUAUGUUAGCCGGGCGACGGUUGUCCCGGUUUAAGCAUGUAGGCUGGUUAUCCAGGCAAAUCCGGAUAAUCAAGGCUGAGGUGUGAUGACGAGGCACUACGGUGCUGAAGUAACAAAUGCCCUGCUUCCAGGAAAAGCCUCUAAGCAUCAGGUAACAUCAAAUCGUACCCCAAACCGACACAGGUGGUCAGGUAGAGAAUACCAAGGCGCUUGAGAGAACUCGGGUGAAGGAACUAGGCAAAAUGGUGCCGUAACUUCGGGAGAAGGCACGCUGGUGUGUAGGUGAAGUCCCUGCGGAUGGAGCUGAGACCAGUCGAAGAUACCAGCUGGCUGCAACUGUUUAUUAAAAACACAGCACUGUGCAAACACGAAAGUGGACGUAUACGGUGUGACGCCUGCCCGGUGCCGGAAGGUUAAUUGAUGGGGUUAUCCGUAAGGAGAAGCUCUUGAUCGAAGCCCCGGUAAACGGCGGCCGUAACUAUAACGGUCCUAAGGUAGCGAAAUUCCUUGUCGGGUAAGUUCCGACCUGCACGAAUGGCGUAAUGAUGGCCAGGCUGUCUCCACCCGAGACUCAGUGAAAUUGAACUCGCUGUGAAGAUGCAGUGUACCCGCGGCAAGACGGAAAGACCCCGUGAACCUUUACUAUAGCUUGACACUGAACAUUGAGCCUUGAUGUGUAGGAUAGGUGGGAGGCUUUGAAGCGUGGACGCCAGUCUGCGUGGAGCCAACCUUGAAAUACCACCCUUUAAUGUUUGAUGUUCUAACGUUGGCCCCUGACCGGGGUUGCGGACAGUGUCUGGUGGGUAGUUUGACUGGGGCGGUCUCCUCCCAAAGCGUAACGGAGGAGCACGAAGGUUAGCUAAUCCUGGUCGGACAUCAGGAGGUUAGUGCAAUGGCAUAAGCUAGCUUGACUGCGAGCGUGACGGCGCGAGCAGGUGCGAAAGCAGGUCAUAGUGAUCCGGUGGUUCUGAAUGGAAGGGCCAUCGCUCAACGGAUAAAAGGUACUCCGGGGAUAACAGGCUGAUACCGCCCAAGAGUUCAUAUCGACGGCGGUGUUUGGCACCUCGAUGUCGGCUCAUCACAUCCUGGGGCUGAAGUAGGUCCCAAGGGUAUGGCUGUUCGCCAUUUAAAGUGGUACGCGAGCUGGGUUUAGAACGUCGUGAGACAGUUCGGUCCCUAUCUGCCGUGGGCGCUGGAGAAUUGAGGGGGGCUGCUCCUAGUACGAGAGGACCGGAGUGGACGCAUCACUGGUGUUCGGGUUGUCAUGCCAAUGGCACUGCCCGGUAGCUAAAUGCGGAAGAGAUAAGUGCUGAAAGCAUCUAAGCACGAAACUUGCCCCGAGAUGAGUUCUCCCUGAGACUUUAAGUCUCCUGAAGGAACGUUAAAGACGAUGACGUUGAUAGGCCGGGUGUGUAAGCGCAGCGAUGCGUUGAGCUAACCGGUACUAAUGAACCGUGAGGCUUAACCUU
rnacentral:rRNA from 1 species